GCGGUUGUGACUCAGAGAUAGAGUGCUCGCUUUGCAUGUGAGAAAACCGGAGUUCAAUCCUCCGCAACUCCA
rfam:Daphnia pulex DAPPTscaffold_102_Cont4465, whole genome shotgun sequence.